rnacentral:rRNA from 1 species
CCUACGGUAGGCAGCAGUGGGGAAUAUUUGGCAAUGGGCGCAAGCCUGACCCCGCAACGCCGCGUGAAGGCAGAAGGCUUUCGGGUUGUACACUUCUUUUGUCAGGGACGAGUAGAAGACGGUACCUGACGAAUAAGCCACGGCUAACUACGUGCCAGCAGCCGCGGUAAUACGUAGGUGGCAAGCGUUGUCCGGAUUUACUGGGUGUAAAGGGCGUGUAGCCGGGUUGACAAGUCAGAUGUGAAAUCCUGCGGCUUAACCGCAGAACUGCAUGUGAAACUGUUGAUCUUGAGUACUGGAGAGGCAGACGGAAGUCCUAGUGUAGCGGUGAAAUGCGUAGAUAUUAGGAGGAACACCAGUGGCGAAGGCGGUCUGCUGGACAGCAACUGACGGUGAGGCGCGAAAGCGUGGGGAGCAAACAGGAUUAAAUACCCCGGUAGUC